rnacentral:rRNA from 1 species
GUGAGGAAUUUUCCGCAAUGGGCGAAAGCCUGACGGAGCAAUGCCGCGUGAAGGAUGAAGGCCUAUGGGUUGUAAACUUCUUUUCUCAGAAAAGAAUUAUGACGGUAUCUGAGGAAUAAGCAUCGGCUAACUCUGUGCCAGCAGCCGCGGUAAGACAGAGGAUGCAAGCGUUAUCCGGAAUGAUUGGGCGUAAAGCGUCUGUAGGUUGUUUAAAAAGUAUUCUGUCAAAGAUUAGCGCUUAACCCUAGAUAGGCAGAAUAAACUUUUAAGUUGAAGUUUAGUAGAGUCAGAGGGAAUUCCCGUUGGAGCGGUGAAAUGCGUAGAUAACGGGAGGAACACCAAAGGCGAAGGCACUCUGCUGGGCCAAUACUAACACUGAGAGACGAAAGCGAGGGGAGCAAAUGGGAUUAGAAACCCGUGUAGUCC